ACGGAGGGUGCAAGCGUUAAUCGGAAUUACUGGGCGUAAAGCGCACGCACGCUGUAGUGUUAGUCAGGGGCGAAAUCCCACGGCUUAACCGUGGAACUGCCUUUGAUACUGCACAACUUGAAUCCGUGAGAGGGUAGCGGAAUUCCAGGUGUAGGAGUGAAAUCCGUAGAUAUCUGGAGGAACAUUAGUGGCGAAGGCAGCCACCUGGACCGGGAUUGACGCUGAGGUGCGAAAGCGUGGGGAGCAAACAG
rnacentral:rRNA from 1 species